CCUACGGGAGGCUGCAGUGGGGGAUAUUGCACAAUGGAGGAAACUCUGAUGCAGCGACGCCGCGUGGGGGAAGAAGGUCUUCGGAUUGUAAACCUCAGUAGUCAGGGAAGAAGCAAGUGACGGUACCUGAAGAGUAAGCUCCGGCUAACUACGUGCCAGCAGCCGCGGUAAUACGUAGGGAGCGAGCGUUGUCCGGAAUUACUGGGUGUAAAGGGUGCGUAGGCGGGUCAGCAAGUCAGGCGUGAAAUACCGGGGCUCAACUCCGGGGCUGCGCUUGAAACUGUUGGUCUUGAGUGAAGUAGAGGCAGGCGGAAUUCCUAGUGUAGCGGUGAAAUGCGUAGAUAUUAGGAGGAACACCAGUGGCGAAGGCGGCCUGCUGGGCUUUAACUGACGCUGAUGCACGAAAGCGUGGGGAGCAAACAGGAUUAGAUACCCCGGUAGUC
rnacentral:rRNA from 1 species